rnacentral:rRNA from 1 species
GUGGGGAAUCUUGCGCAAUGGGCGAAAGCCUGACGCAGCCAUGCCGCGUGAAUGAUGAAGGUCUUAGGAUUGUAAAAUUCUUUCACCGGGGACGAUAAUGACGGUACCCGGAGAAGAAGCCCCGGCUAACUUCGUGCCAGCAGCCGCGGUAAUACGAAGGGGGCUAGCGUUGCUCGGAAUUACUGGGCGUAAAGGGCGCGUAGGCGGAUCGUUAAGUCAGGGGUGAAAUCCCAGAGCUCAACUCUGGAACUGCCCUUGAUACUGGCGAUCUUGAGUGUGAGAGAGGUAUGUGGAACUCCGAGUGUAGAGGUGAAAUUCGUAGAUAUUCGGAAGAACACCAGUGGCGAAGGCAACAUACUGGCUCAUUACUGACGCUGAGGCGCGAAAGCGUGGGGAGCAAACAGGAUUAGAAACCCGAGUAGUCC